UAUCUCCCAUGCAUUCGGUGGUGCCGGCAGUCCAUAUUUCGUGGGUGUGAUUCUAUUCUAAAAUUCUACCAUCGGGCUGCUCCAGUCCGUACCGGAUGAUGAUCCACCGCUGAUCCAGUUCCGUGCCCUGCAGUACGCAUUAUUUAGCACCUGCUUCGUGGAGAUCCUUGGGGGUGUGUUCUUCCUGAUUACAGCGAUAUACAUCGAUCGGGAUAGGGUACGGGUAGAGGCUGUUGUACUAGAAGUAACGUUACGAAUCGAAAACUGUUCGAACCGCGACCACGGUUGAAGAGAAGUCCAAUUCAAACACGUCGUACGUCAACUUUCAGCUUUCAACAUUCAGACAGAUAUUACAGCGCCUACUAGAUCAUUUCCACUCUCCGUACUUCAUGUUCAACUUUCAACAUUCAGACAGAUAUUACAGCGCCGACUAGAUCAUUUCCACUCACCGUACUUCAUAUUGCAACGGCGUGUUCAGUGUUUAGCGUAAAUGUGCAACCGGUUAGGUCUUCCAGUAUUGUAAUGAAAAUAAAAUAGUGAACGCGCAGAAGAACAUAAAUCGCCAGUGCGCUAUUCGGUGGGAGUUUCUAGGUGGGGCGGGUUAUACGAAAGCAAUAGUCUGUGAAAAUAAAUGUUGGGGGCCAUUUUUAGUCGGUGCUGGAAAAGUUUUCUGACGAUGCGAUGUUUUAGGAUAAGCGGUGACAUCCAUUUCGGCUGUUGGAGGUAAUUAUUCAAAUUGAAAAGUGUUCGAAAGGGAAAAGCAAUACAAAGCAAACGUUUUAAGCGUUAAAUUUGGCUGAAAAUCAGAAUAAGAAAGAAUACGUACGUGUGAUAAAGGUGCUAAAAUGGCUCUAAAGCUGCACAAUGACACAAUUUGGAUAUUUUUUCUACGGUACAGAGGAAAGGCAGAUAAACAUUGUAAACCAAAAAGAAGACAACGUUAUUUUUUAUUAGAUUCUCGUUAGCCGUUAAUGGAUUAU